rnacentral:rRNA from 1 species
CGUUCCUACGGGGGGCAGCAGUGGGGGAUAUUGCACAAUGGGGGAAACCCUGAUGCAGCGACGCCGCGUGAGCGAUGAAGUAUUUCGGUAUGUAAAGCUCUAUCAGCAGGGAAGAAAAUGACGGUACCUGACUAAGAAGCCCCGGCUAACUACGUGCCAGCAGCCGCGGUAAUACGUAGGGGGCAAGCGUUAUCCGGAUUUACUGGGUGUAAAGGGAGCGUAGGCGGUAAUGCAAGUCAGAAGUGAAAGCCCGGGGC